AAGCUUAUCCCAACACUCCCUCUAAGCUUGUCCUCCUUUUGCUAGGGAAAUUCUCAUCACUACUACACAUGCAAAACUCCAUAGUAAGCUUAGUGUCUCAAUCUUAAUCAUGAUAUGAACAUCUCCUUUGUUGAUUCUCUCUUCAGAUUUUCCAUAUUUGAUUUGUUUCUCGCUUUUAUCCAGAGUUUGCUUCUCCGUGAGUUGUGCUUCUCUACGAAUUCUUCUUGAUCAAGAAAAGUCUUCUUCACAAUCUUUUCACAAUUCCGGGGUUAGAUUGAUUUCUCCCUCAUAUCUUUUUCAUGUAAUAUCUCAAUAUUUUCUUCAUUAAUUCUUUGGUUUGUCUUUAAUGAAUGAUUUACUUGCUUAGCUUACUCUGUAUGAUUGUAUUUGUACAUGUGGUUUCUUUCUAAGCUGCCAAGUCUGAUUUUUGCUGAUCAUCUUGAUUCUAGAUUCAUAGCAACUCUAUAAU
rnacentral:lncRNA from 1 species